rnacentral:rRNA from 1 species
CCUACGGGCGGCAGCAGUGGGGAAUAUUGGACAAUGGGCGAAAGCCUGAUCCAGCCAUGCCGCGUGUGUGAAGAAGGCCUUCGGGUUGUAAAGCACUUUCAGUGGGGAAGAAAGCCUUGGGGCUAAUACCCUCGAGGAAGGACAUCACCCACAGAAGAAGCACCGGCUAACUCCGUGCCAGCAGCCGCGGUAAUACGGAGGGUGCGAGCGUUAAUCGGAAUUACUGGGCGUAAAGCGCGCGUAGGCGGUCUGAUAAGCCGGUUGUGAAAGCCCCGGGCUCAACCUGGGAACGGCAUCCGGAACUGUCAGGCUAGGGUGCAGGAGAGGAAGGUAGAAUUCCCGGUGUAGCGGUGAAAUGCGUAGAGAUCGGGAGGAAUACCAGUGGCGAAGGCGGCCUUCUGGACUGACACUGACGCUGAGGUGCGAAAGCGUGGGUAGCAAACAGGAUUAGAUACCCGAGUAGC